rnacentral:misc_RNA from 1 species
GAUGAAGAACGUAGCGAAAUGCGAUACGUAAUGUGAAUUGCAAAUUCAGUGAGUCAUCGAGUCUUUGAACGCACAUUGCGCCCCCUGGUAUUCCGGGGGGCAUGCCUGUCCGAGCGUCAUUACUGCCCUCAAGCCCGGCUUGUGUGUUGGGCCCCGUCCUCCGAUCCCGGGGGACGGGCCCGAAAGGCAGCGGCGGCACCGCGUCCGGUCCUCGAGCGUAUGGGGCUUUGUCACCCGCUCUGUAGGCCCGGCCGGCGCUUGCCGAUCAACCCCAAUUUUUUAUAGGUUGACCUCGGAUCAGGUAGGGAUACCCGCUGAACUUAAGCAUAUCAAUAAGCGGAGGA